CAGUGGCGCUGCGCUGAAUGCAACUGCGCGCGCCCGCCGGGUGAGCCAGCGAUCUGAGCCAGGCGGGGGCGGCCCGACCUUUCCCGCCCAGCCUGGGUCAGAGGAAGCCGAAAGCGGCCUCAGCAAGGUGAGGCGCCCGAGGCUGCAGAAGACCGAGCAGAACUUUGCAGAGUUCGGGAUGUGCUGGGCUAGGUCGCUGAGGACUUGACUGGCUUCCUCCCUCCUUCCCUCCACCUACCUUCUCCCUCCCCCUCCACCAUCCAGUGGGUUCGUUCCGGGCCUCCAGCUAUCAGCUCCCGAUCUCGUGUUUGAGGGUAGCGACCCCGAUUUCUGUUUGCAUGCACAGCCAGCAGCCCUAGCGCCAGAUCCUAAAGCUGGAUAUCUUUUAACUGGGCUACCAGCCCGGGCCUCAAAGUUUUGGUGAGGGCCGCCAGGCUCAGGCCCCAGCGAAGCCCCGAGCGCCAUGGCCGAC
rnacentral:lncRNA from 10 species